rnacentral:rRNA from 1 species
CGUGGUUAACCUGCCCUUGGGACGGAAACACCCCCGGGAAACUGGGGCUAAUUUCCGAUAGGUGAAGACUCCUGGAAUGGAUCUUCGCCUAAAGGGCGCUUAGGCCAUGCUUCUAAGCGCUGCCCAAGGAUGGGACCGCGGCCGAUCAGGUUGUUGGUGAGGUAAUGGCUCACCAAGCCUUUAACCGGUUCGGGCCGUGGGAGCGGGAGCCCGGAGAUGGGCACUGAGACAAGGGCCCAGGUCCUACGGGGCGCAGCAGUCGCGAAAACUCCGCAAUACGCGAAGGCGUGACGGGGCUAUCCCGAGUGCCGUCCGCUGAGGAUGGCUUUUCCCCAGUGUAGAUAGCUGGGGGAAUAAGGAGAGGGCAAGUCUGGUGUCAGCCGCCGCGGUAAUACCAGCUCUCCGAGUGGUGGGGACGUUUAUUGGGCCUAAAGCAUCCGUAGCCAGCUGAGCAAGUCCCCAGUUAAAUCCAGCGAUUUAAUCGUUGGACUGCUGGGGAUACUGUCCGGCUAGGGGGUGGGAGAGGCCGACGGUAUUCCCGGGGUAGGGUGAAUCCUAUAAUCCCGGGAGGACCACCAGUGGCGAACGCUGUUGGCUAAACAUGCCCGACGGUGAGGGAUGAAAGCUGGGGGAGCGACCGGAUUAGAUACCCGGGUAGUCCAGCUGU